AGCUACAUCUGGCUACUGGGUC
rnacentral:ncRNA from 8 species